CUCUCCCUCUGGCGGCAGGCUUAACACAUGCAAGUCGAGCGGACCUUUCGGGGUCAGCGGCGGACGGGUGAGUAACGCGUGGGAACGUGCCUUCCGGUUCGGAAUAACCCUGGGAAACUAGGGCUAAUACCGGAUACGCCCUUAUGGGGAAAGGUUUACUGCCGGAAGAUCGGCCCGCGUCUGAUUAGCUAGUUGGUGGGGUAACGGCCUACCAAGGCGACGAUCAGUAGCUGGUCUGAGAGGAUGAUCAGCCACACUGGGACUGAGACACGGCCCAGACUCCUACGGGAGGCAGCAGUGGGGAAUAUUGGACAAUGGGCGCAAGCCUGAUCCAGCCAUGCCGCGUGAGUGAUGAAGGCCUUAGGGUUGUAAAGCUCUUUUAUCCGGGACGAUAAUGACGGUACCGGAGGAAUAAGCCCCGGCUAACUUCGUG
rnacentral:rRNA from 1 species